rnacentral:rRNA from 1 species
UACGUAGGGUGCGAGCGUUAAUCGGAAUUACUGGGCGUAAAGCGUGCGCAGGCGGUUUUGUAAGCCAGGUGUGAAAUCCCCGGGCUCAACCUGGGAAUGGCAUUUGGGACUGCAAGGCUGGAGUGCGGCAGAGGAGACUGGAAUUCCUGGUGUAGCAGUGAAAUGCGUAGAUAUCAGGAGGAACACCGAUGGCGAGGCAGGUCUCUGGGCUGACACUGACGCUCAUGCACGAAAGCGUGGGGAGCAACAGG